UACGGGGGGGGCAAGCGUUGUUCGGAAUUACUGGGCGUAAAGGGCUUGUAGGUGGCCAACUAAGUCAGACGUGAAAUCCCUCGGCUUAACCGGGGAACUGCGUCUGAUACUGGAUGGCUGGAGUGUGGGAGAGGGAUGCGGAAUUCCAGGUGUAGCGGUGAAAUGCGUAGAUAUCUGGAGGAACACCGGUGGCGAAAGCGGCAUCCUGGACCGAGAUUGACGCUGAGGCGCGAAAGCUAGGGGAGCAAACGGG
rnacentral:rRNA from 1 species